CACGUAGGGUGCGAGCGUUGUCCGGAAUUAUUGGGCGUAAAGAGCUCGUAGGCGGUGUGUCGCGUCGGCCGUGAAAACCUGCAGCUUAACUGUGGGCUUGCGGUCGAUACGGGCAUCACUGGAGUUCGGCAGGGGAGACUGGAAUUCCUGGUGUAGCGGUGAAAUGCGCAGAUAUCAGGAGGAACACCGGUGGCGAAGGCGGGUCUCUGGGCCGAUACUGACGCUGGAGGGAGCGAAAGCCGUGGGGAGC
rnacentral:rRNA from 1 species